rfam:Piriformospora indica DSM 11827, WGS project CAFZ01000000 data, contig: PIRI_contig_1649
GACGCUAUAGAUUAGUGGUUAGAUCAGCUCGUUGUGGCCGAGCAGACGGGUGUUCGAAUCACCCUAGCGUCA